rnacentral:rRNA from 1 species
UACGUAGGGUGCGAGCGUUGUCCGGAAUUACUGGGCGUAAAGAGCUCGUAGGCGGUUUGUCGCGUCGUCUGUGAAAACCAGCAGCUCAACUGCUGGCUUGCAGGCGAUACGGGCAGACUUGAGUACUGCAGGGGAGACUGGAAUUCCAGGUGUAGCGGUGAAAUGCGUAGAUAUCUGGAGGAACACCGGUGGCGAAGGCGGCAUCCUGGACCGGCAUUGACGCUGAGGCGCGAAAGCCAGGGGAGCAAACGGG